rnacentral:lncRNA from 1 species
GGGCCUGUUAUUAGGGUGCACAAACAACAUAAGCCAAAGGAGUACAUUGUUGGUGCAGUUUUGGUUUAACGUUAAUUGGCUCCACGUGCCUCCUGUGCCUGAGAGAAGGCAACAGUCAUUGCAAGCAGGUGGAUUGCCUGCUCACCUCCCUCAAGAGAGAUCAGCUGGGGUGGGAGGGAGAAUAUCAUAGUAACUCAGGUGGUUGUUUGGGCCCCAUCCCAGGUGGCACUCAUUUCUAAGGCAAGGGUGCAACGGAGGUCCUGGGUCCCAGUGUGAGGCAUGAUACAAAGAUGCAAGGCCCAGCAGAAGACAACUCAGGUUUGUUAUGAAUUGAGGAUAAAUAUCACUGAUAAAAUGGAGGUCAACAACUUAGCAGCAUCUUGUGGAAAAGGUUUGGAGGUGAGUGAAAUUAAAUGGUUACCUGAAUCAGGCAUUAUUCCAAUGGGAGACUGGAAGGUGUAGCCAGGAUUUUCUGAAGUGGAAGCAUUCAAAAUAUUGGGAACAAACACAGAAACUGUGGGGUCUGUGACAACUCGUGCGGAAUCUAAACUGAUACUGGGACCACAGUGUGCAAUAUCAUGCUCUGGGCCUGAAAGCUUUUGGCUCUAGUCUCUGAUGUACCAGGGAGAUCAACUGAUUAAAGUGCCAAAGGAUUUUCUUUCUAUUCAGUGGAUUUGAAAUACUUAAAGCUAAGCUGAACUCCAGAUCCUGCUA